UACGUAGGGGGCAAGCGUUGUCCGGAUUUAUUGGGCGUAAAGCGCGCGUAGGUGGCCUCAUAAGUCCGCUGUGAAAGUCAAAGGCUCAACCUUUGAAAGCCGGUGGAUACUGUGAGGCUAGAGUACGGAAGGGGCAACUGGAAUUCUUGGUGUAGCGGUGAAAUGCGUAGAUAUCAAGAGGAACACCUGCGGCGAAGGCGGGUUGCUGGGCCGACACUGACGCUGAGGCGCGAAAGCCAGGGGAGCGAACGGG
rnacentral:rRNA from 1 species